CUGACUCAAUGGAAUUGAGUUUAAGUAAGUUCUGGGAGUUGGUGAUGGACAGGGAAGCCUGGUGUGCUACAGUCCAUGGGGUUGCAAAGAGUUGGACACGACGGAGCGACUGAACUGAACUGGAAACAAAGUUGUAUAAUCCCCGGUCAAAUACAGUUGAUGUUUUUAGUGUAUUGGGUUAUGUCGUUGAAAGCAGCAGAAUUAAGUAAAAGCAGAAUGGGACAAAGGAUUGAAAGUGUGACUUAAAGUUGCAACUCUCUGAAGUGCUUUGGGUAUUUCAGUCUCUUUACUUGUUAGUAUAUAUAUCAUAGCAUCUGUCCUUUUCCUUUACACAAGUCAGACUCUAGAAAGUUUUAAAAGUUUGUGUCUGUGAUCAAAAGUGAGAUAAAAUGGUCCUGUUUCCCUGCCCUGGCUUGGAAGGAAAGUUUCCAAGCCAGGGGGAGACUGUCAUUGCCAUGUGAUAAUUUAAUUCCUCUAGUCUUUACUCUCCCUUUCUAAAUCUUGGCAUAUGAGAUCAUAGGUUCCCUCUCCAUUUUCAAAUUGGUGUCUUUCUUGUUUUACAUAAGAGUCUGAUGCCUCAUUUGAACCAGUAUACCAAGACCCUUGCUCUGAAGACUGCAUAUUAGAAUGCUUUUGGCUGCAAGUAACAGAAGGCCUAGCCAAAAAUGGCCAUAAAAGAGGGAUGUUCAGUUAGUUAUCUCACAAAAUAAAUGUCCAGAGUUAGCCAUAUGAGUGUGUAGGACCAGUUUCUCUGAGGAUCUCCUAGCUUCUCCUUAAGUAGACAAGCUAGCUACUCCAGCUGUAAGCUUUGGGUCCCCACGUUAUACUCCAGGAAAAGGAAGAGGACAGACCUCCUCCUUCAUGUAUGUUUCUUUGUAUUUGGAGGGAAAAUCCUUUCCAGAGGUUCUGCAGCAUUUUCUCAUUCAUCUCAUGAAUGACAGGCUUGAACUUGGUCACCCGUCUACCCAAACCAGUCACUAGCCAAUACACAUUAACUUAGACCGUAGAUCAUCUCCUGGGCUGGGCCCAUGGCUGUCUGAUACCUGAACAGAGCUGGUUUUUCUGAAAGCAGAGACCAGGGUGCAGUCUGCUGAGCAGACAACCAACUCUGCCAUAGGCUGUCUUCUACAGCAGUACAACCUGUGGCUUCUGCUAGGAAAAAAACUCACUCCAGGUGGAGUAGAAGGUUAGCUUGGCGUCUGUAUUGAUAGGCUAGGAUAUUAUAAAGCCUUUAGAAGUGAUCUUGGAAUACGUGCUUAUUUAUGUCACCCCUGGUGGCACCAGUGGUAAAGAACCCGCCUCGCCAAUGCAGAAGACGCGAGACGUGAGUUUGAUCCUGGGUCAGGAAGAUCCCCUGGAGGAGGGCAGGGCAACCCACUCUAGUAUCCUUGCCUGGAGAAUCCCGUGGACAGAGGAGCCUGGCGGGCUACAGUCCAUGGGAUCACAAAGAGUCAGACACGCCUGAAGCAACUUAGCACGUGCGCAUGCCCUAUUCAUUUACAUACCUUGAGGACAGCGCUUACCACACAGCACUGUGAUUCUGUAUCUGCGUGUCACAAGGGGCCCCUCAUUUCUUGUGUCCAGAGCACCCAGGAACUUAAUACAGAUAGGGGCUCUCUCAGUGUUUGCUGGGUGAAUGAAUAAAUGAAUGAAAUAAGCAAACAGUAAGAUAUUCUUUAAAACUUUUAUCGAUGUAUAGUUGAUUUACAAUUUUGUGUUAGUUUCGGAUGCACCACAAACUAAUUCAGUUUUAUGUGUGUGUGUGUGUGUGUAUAUAUAUAUAUAUAUGUGUAUAUUCUUUUUCAAAUUAUAUUAUAGGUUAUUAUAAUAUAUUGAGUGUAGUCCCCUGUGCUAUACAGUAGAUCCUUGUUGUUUGUUUUAUAUAUGGAAGUAUAUAUCUGUUAAUCCCAAAUUCCUAAUUCAUCCCCCACUUUACCCCUUGGUAGCCGUAAGAUUAUUUUCUGUACUGUGAGUCUGUUUUUGCUUUGUAACUAAGUUCAUUUUUAUCAUUUUUUAUUCCAUAAAUAGGUGGGGAUGUGAUAUUUGUCAUUCUCAGACUCACUUCAUUUUAGUAGAAUAAUCUCUAGGUCCAUGAGCAAGAUAUUGUUGAAGCAUGUCUUAUGAAGAAUACUUGAAAUAAUUACAAAUGUUUACCUGAAUAAUUGAAUGAAUGAACACACAAAUGAAUAAGCAAAUGAUGGCUGAAGUGUUCUUGAAGCUCAGUUCUGUGAACUGUUAAAAUGACUAUAAAUGUUUGCCCAGAGAAGACAAGUUCUGAGGAAUACAGAGACUUUCUGCAGUGCUGUACCUAAAAUCCUUUCAAGUGAAAAAGAGAUUAGAAUCACCUUGUGGGAUAUCUAAGGAUAGAGCUAGGAAGAAUGAGUGGAAACUACAGGAAGACAGAGAGCUCUUUCUUGCUCUGAGCUAAAAUCUCACAGUGGAGCUUUGUAAACAUGGAACUACCUACCUCAGGAACGAGUACUCUUGCCAUCACCAAGCACUCGCCACUUGGCAGGAUAUUGUAAAGGAGAGGAAAGUUCCAUUUAUCACUGGAGAUCGGACCAAAGGAUGUUUAUUCUCUGAUGUAACCCAGUAGUGAUAACGGCUCUCUGAAAUUUUAAGAAAAUUUAAGGAACUAAACUCUUACCUCUAAAGACUGAAAUGAAGGAAGCACAGCAGUUAUUUCUAAAGUCACAAGAGAUUUUAUGCUGCUCUGAAACACCUGUGCGUAAUCCCACCUGUGCUUAUUAUUCCCAAUUAUAUGUGCUGUUCUCUGGAGCUCAAUUUUGUGAUGGAAGGAUUUUUUGAAAAUAAAAAGUUGUUGAGGACUUCCCUUGUGGUCCAGUGGUUAAGACUCAGCACUUCCAGUGCCUCCAUUGCAGGGGCGCAGGUUCGAUCCCUGGUCAGGGAACUAGGAUCCCACAUGCCUCACAUGGUGCGGCCAAACUUGGGUUCGUCUGUCUUAAUGGGAUCUGCGUGGAUUAUGAAAGUUCGCCUUUGUACUCCUGUUGUCUUCGCAGAGAGAAUGAAGAGAAGUGCUCAGCUUCUGAGGGGAGGGGAAGUGAGGCUGCGUCCCCAUGUCUCUCUCACGUGGGCUGUCUCGCCGCCUAACCACAGAAGUGAAAGUCAGAAAAGAGAUGGAGUUUGAGGAACUGUGGGCCAUCCUUCACUCUUCUUGUCGUUAUAGUGAGGAAGUGCACUGCAUAUGUAUGGUCCCUCAGUAAAACAGGUGUUCUGCCCUUAAAAUGGUAAUUAUAGGCUAUUUCAGAUCAAUGAUCUUCACUUAUGUCAUAUCACUGUGGUAUUUUUUUCCACGGUUAACCACCCUGUGAUAUAGAAAGCUUGCUCACGCUUGAAAAAAUCAAAAUGCAUAUAGAUUUUCUGAAAUAAGCCUCCUUUCUGGAAGUAUUUUGUGGUUAAUUUCAAUAUGUAAUAUCCUGAGGAAGGUUUAGGUUGACUUUUUUUACUUGAGUAUAAAAUUUGAAAAGUAAAAUCACUGUGCAAUGAGCGAUUUUACUUCCAUUAGCCUAAUGUCUUUGUGGUUUCAUUUGAGGUCACCUAGUAGAUUAUUUUUCUUGCAUUAUUUCAUCAGCUGUCGGUUCUAUUAAUAUAAUGUAAUUCAUUCAGUGCUGUGAUUUUUAAGACAUGACUGUAAGCACAGAAGGCAAUGUGUUUUUGAAGUUUAUUUGGAUGAUUGCAGGGUAUCAGACUGCCUCAGUCUUCUUCAUGCUCAGCGUCCGGAGGGUCACUUAAGGAUUGUAUAUGAUCUGGGAUUGUCAAGUGGUGAUUCAUGCCUGUGUUUUUAUAGCCAGCACAUAAAAAUAUAUCUGCAGCUUCUUUAUUAUCAUCUUUUGAAAGACAAUGGCUUGCUUGUGGGAUAUGCAACUGUGUUUACUACUUAGGUUACAAGAUAUGUGAUAUAUCUCUUAUUCAACACUAACAGUAACCCUUUCCAGGAGGUUCAUUUCAAGCUCAUUCUAUUAGCAUAUUCACUCUUUGGGCUUUGAUUACAAUGUUGUGAAUUUAUGUUUGCGUAGUUGGUGGGUAUCAUUCAGGAAAUCAUUUGAAGAUUAUUCCUUAAACAAUAGAUAAACACAUCGUUCCCUAGUAGUUAUCAAGAAAUUGCAUAUUGUCCUCUCUUGAACUUGAACAUAUGAUGGAGGUCCUUGGAAUCACCUGAAAAAUUGGUUCUUUAGUUUGUAUUUUGAAUAUGAGGAUAAUUUUUAAAUGUUAUAAAUAAGAAAGCCCUACAGAGUCAUAGUUGUAGCUUUUGCCGUCUUGAAACAUAUAAAAUGCAUUUACUGAAAUACAUGUGGAUCAAAUGAUGUAAUAUCUGGGGUUUGUUUUAAAAUUAUCUGAAAAGAUGGAAGCAGUUGGAAUGGGUAGGGUGAAGAUGAAACAAGGUUGGCUGUGAGUUGAUUAUUGUUGAAACUGGGUGAUGGUAGAUGGGCAUUUAUUGUAUAAACACUUUUAUAUGUGUUUGAAAAACACAUCCAUUUCAAAAAAAAAAAUACGCCAGGACUAUAGAGUGACUGUGAAUUUACUUGUGCUUAUAAAAGGAAAAUGUAUUUUUAUAAUCACCGAAGCAUCUAUAUGUUUGAAAAAUACCAAUCAUUACGUGAAAGUGGCAUGUGAUUUAUGGAGCCUAGAGACAGAGUUUGGUGUUCCUGGAUUCUGUAACCCCUUUGCUAUAACCAUUAAAGCAGAAUAGAGAAGCAAGUUCAAGGCAGCUCGAUUCAUACUGUGUACACAACCACAGAGAACAUUCCAAGCAAUGUGAACCUUGAGUGCUGAAGAACGCGUGUCACUUCACAAACACACUGGUUGCUAUGCUGCUUAGAAAAGGCAGUGCCCUGUGGAGGAGGCUGUGCUCGAGCAGUGAGAACAUGGAACAGAGCGUAUAGGGCUGAGGCAGGCUGGAAAGUCUAGCACAGGAAGCAAAGAAUCUGAUCCGUUCAGAGCGUCAGGGGCCUCCAAGUAAUAGCAGCCUUAUCCUAAUUCAGGCUCCGUCAAGCUUGCCCUUGGCCAACUGUCACCAAGGCCAAAAAGACCCAUGAUUUCCUUUUCUGACCUCAGUCGUAUUGACCUACGCCUUCUGUCUCCUCCUCACGCAGAAUUUAAAACAUCUACAUUGUAUUUCGAUUUCUGUGAAGAUUAGAGAGUAGUCUCACUGUCUUUUGUUCCUGGCCAGUUUUCAGUGGGACCUUAUUGCCUCGAAAUUCUUGGCCUAUAAAAGCAUGCACGCGAAAUUACCCUUAAUUUAUAAUUAUAUAGAUUUAAAAUCUCAGAUUACGUUGGAAUCAAAUAUCUAGAAUGAAUCAGCCCAAGGAAGGUGUUUCUUUUUUCAAAAUUAUUAAUUAUUGGAAUAUUAUAUAAAAAAAUAACAUUGAAACACUUAAUUCAUGGUUCAGUUCUGUUGUUCAUUUAAAGGUUUAUCUGUUUCCCACUGUUUAAAUAUCUCUAUCUGAUCUUUCAUGCUAACCUAGCAUGUCCAAAAUAUUGAAAACCAGAUGAAUGAGCAAGGAAUUUAAGGAGUACUCCCUCAGUGAAGCCAGAAGGAUUUUCUUGAGGAGGGAAAAAAAAAAAAAGAAUGCAUGAAACUUAUUUAACAAGAAAGAUUUGAGUCAGGUAAUCUACAUAAUAUAUCCACUGGCAUUAAAGCUGUCAUCUUGGUAUAGCAUUUCUGGUACGAAUUUCGCAAUAGCUGUCUUUCACUGUCGGUUCUAAUAAAGAGUGUUGGUCAGCUUAAAUUCCCUGGGAGCUCAGAGUUAUGUUUUGUGAACUGCGUGUGCCUGAGGCCUCUCAUGCAUGAUUUAAACUGCUUUGUAAAUGUCAAUAGGUGGAAAAGCAUCGGAUCCCUCGUAGAUUUCUCCAAACCCUCAAAGAUGAGUACGCCAUGUAUAAACCAUGCUGCGCUCUCAAGGCCAUUGCCGUUUUUUACUCUCGCCUAACUGGGGGUUUUAAGGUAUUGCCAGGAGCAAAAUAUCAGUGUGUGCAUGUCUCGAUCCAACUGGCCAAUGAAACCCUUUAUUAAGAAAACCUUUGCACCAGAGAAAUGUCUCCAGUGACCUGAGAUGGGCCCACCUCAUGAAUGUUGAAUGUUCUUCAAACUCUGUUUCUUCAUUCUUGAUUUUUUAUUUUUUUCAAAACACACAUUUGACUCGAUUGAAUUUGCUGAUCCCAUAGCACUGCAUUCAUUUCAUGGACCCUGCUAUGGAAUGGUAGAAAAAAAUAUUUCCGUUGGGAGCUCCCAGACAUGGGUCCCCUCCUGGUUCUGUCUGUCUCUGGCUUUUUGUUGUUGGGCAAGCCACUUAGCCUUUGAGGGGGGCCCCACUUUUUCAUUCAUUGAAGUUGAAUCCAGGAGGUUGCAUUAAAUGAUCUCCAGUUAUUCCUCUCAGCUCUUGCAUCAUGAUUCCAAGAGAUAGUGACAGACAGCCAGUGUGACACUUUUAAAGCCAUGGGAGCACAUGGGACUUUUUAAUUAGGCUUAUUCUCCUGUCUUCCGGGCAGCACAGAGUGCCAGCAGGAGCCCCCAAAUGGCCAGCAGCGAUCGGGCAAAGUGACCUCAAUGUCAGCCCAAAGGCUCAUCAGCUCAUUUGCGUUCACAGCACUUCCUUGUGCUGUUUUCCUGUCAGCCUGUGUCCCCCUCACCGCCACUGCCCCGCAAUAUCUGCCCCCUCCACUCCCCGGAUUCUUUAGCUGAAAGGUGUCUUCUAAUGUCUGAAGAGGCUGAAUCGCAUGGCAUUCCAGGGUAGAGGCCCGCAAAUGAGCAAAAACACUAUCCUGGCUUUCUCAUGGUGGUUUCUGCUCCACUCUUAUACUGCCUUGCCCAGAGCCUAGGGACAGACGUGCUUGGAAAACGCUUGUCACAUAAUCAUUGCAGAGCAAAUUCGUUCAGAGUCAGCCAGGAAGACAGAGAUGGCCUUUUGUUCACCUUCUUUUAUUUUUUCAUUCCCACCCAGUUCCAAAUGAGCAACUUUGGUCUUCUCUUUCCACAUGCUCACUUUCUCACAGUGUCUUUCUGAGGCGACCAUUUCCGGGGUAGCCCUGAAGCUGGCCUGCCACGUCUAAUCCUGGCCCUCCUCUGACUGUGUGACCUUGAGCACUUCAUGUAACCUCUCCGUGUCUGUUUUUCAUCUGUGAAAUGGACAUCAUAUAAGUACCUGCUUCAGCAGGUUGUGAGAUUUAAAUUCAGCUCUAACAUAAAGCCCUAGAGUUGUGCCUGUCAAUGUUAUUAACAUUGGUUUUUUUUUUAAAAAAUUAUUAUUUAAUUUGAACUUAAAAAAAAAAAAGAUCCAAGGACAAACCAACUGUCCUUUUUUUCUCUUGGGUUGGGGGGGUGGCGGGGAAACACUUGCUUAAUGCCCACCAUCUCCACCCCAGUGAGGAGUGGUCUGAAGAGGGCAGAGCCAGCGGUCCAGGGCCUUGCUCGCUGAGGCCAGGUCCGUGUUUGCCUGGUUAGGAGCACACCACGGCCGUGUCCACACCACAGCUGGUUGG